GAAAUGAGGUGGUUGAUAUGAUCGAAACUGGAAUAAAAUGUAUAUUUCAUCAAGAAACAGAUGGAUCUUAAGAAUCUGCUAAAAAAAGAGAACUCAUUUUAAAACUUCCCUAAGGCAGAAAUGAUGAAGAUUCAAGCCCACUGAAGUAUAAAUGAAAAACAGAAGCAAAGCGAGGACGCUGCAGAGAAAUUUAAUGCCUUAUGUC